AAAAAAGCCGUAGCUAAAUCCGUCGCUGAAUACCACUUAAUUAUUUAUCCUAGGGCACAAAAUUGGUAAAAGUUCGGUGUCUUCUUUUUCUAACAGGGUAGAACGCUGGGAGCAAAUAUAGGUGGCUGGGAGCAAAAUCAAUGGAAAACACACUUGAGGGCAAGAACAAGAGCAAAAAUUAGUAGCCAACGUGAAUCUAAGCAGUUGGGAACAACUUUGGAAAGAUCCCAAGUGUGUUAAAAAGUCAGAAAUAAAUGCAAAGAAUCGUCGUGGCGGUAGGAGUGGAGUCUCCACUGGGACUCACACAGGCGGCUCUGUCACCACUGGGGAGUAUCGCAAGAGACUUGCUGUUGAAAAGGGUCGAGACCCAACACCAAGUGAGUUACAUUUGUACGUCCAUACACAUGGGCAUGAUGGAAAAUCUUUUCUUGAUGAGAAAGCUCGGCUCGUGCAUGAAAGGUAUCAGGAAAAUUGCUAUCAUACUCGUCGGUACAAAGAGGGAAACCGGGACAAAGAGGAAAAUUGCUCGACUACCUUUUAACCUACAACCCUAAUGCUCAACCUCCACACCUUCCUAUCAAGAGCCAUGUCCUCGGAAAUCUAGAGUCUCGCCUGUCGUGCCUCUUUUUUCCCUCAGUGGAGAGGAGUCCGGGUUUCGACAUUCAUAGGGUGUGAUGACUCAUUUCCUUUUGGGAAUUAGGUAUUACGUUUUGAAGAG